AGGGGUAUCUUUACAGUAUGCUCUAAUGGUAAACAGCACAACACAAACGAGUAAGGUCUAGCUGCGGACGCAGCCCCGGCCAAACACGCCCCUAUGUACAAAACGCGUGCAUGUACGAAGACGAGAACUCGCAUGCGUGUUGGUUGCAAGAGAUGGAAAUGACGUUCAGUGAGAGGCAGCUGAUGUCCUAUGCCAUGGAACUGCUCAUAUACUCGGAGAGAAAAUCAGAAAAGCUCUGGACUCAUCUGAAUUUCUGAAGAGGCUGUAGCAUUGUGUGGACAUUUUUUAUUUUUUUAUUUUUGGAAGGUAUUGGUAAGGCCAAUAAAAGCUGUUGCUGGUUGUUUCA